CUCGCGGCGGGCGGGAGGGCGGCGCGCUGCUGCCGUGCCCGGAGCGGAGCGGGCGGCGCUUGAGCGGCUCCAGCGCGAGUGGGGGUCGCUUUUCACGCCUCGCGGGUCGGUCGCUCGGUCAGGGGAAAACCUCCCUGCAGUAACGACGAGCAGCCGGCGCUGCCGCUGGUCUCUUCCCGAAGACCUCCUGGCUUUGCGUCCAAGCAGCAGCGCGUGCUGGGGGCGCGCCGCGAGCUGGGGGCUCGUCUGGCCUUCGGUGCCGUGUGGCUGAAAGGGCGAAGCUGUGCGGGAUCGCACGGCGCAGCCGGGGCUUCUGCGAGGAGAGCCCUGAGUGGAAAAGACCCGCAUCCUCAGCGCUGGGUGAACUGCGCCUGGCUGCCUGGGAAUGGAUCUCGUGUCUUCGCUCGCUCCUGUCGGGUAGUUGGUGUAAGAAUUCAUAAAUUAAACCUCGGGGCCAACUCAGGUGGUUACCUGAAAUAUCCCUGAACCGAGGGAAGCGUUUCAGCCGUUACGGAAAUGACUCUUUAGCAGAGAGGCUGCAAAGAAACCACAGUAACAAUGUAAAACAGGUAGCGGGAAAGGAAAACAAGCAGAUGAGAAGUGCUGAGUAUUGAGUUGGAAUCAGGACUCUCAAAAGUCAGCGCUGUUGUCUUUCUGGAAAUGACCAGAUAAUGACAACAGACACGUCUGUGUGUGGGAAAAGCGUGUGAAUAGCAGCAUGGUAAUAGCUGCCGCUGCCACCACGCUGUGUCGAUCCUACCUGCAUCCAGUGCAGAUCUGCUCAGAGUGGUUUAUUUCCUCCAGCUCAGUGCUGCGUUCAGACAAGUCCCAAGCACAGAAUGUCUCCCAGCUGGCUCUGUCCUUGUACUCGUGUGUCACACUGCAGGGCAGAGCAGGAUUGUCUCUUGCCUGUGGUGACCAAACAUACCCAAAUUCAUGAACAGCAGAAACAAUUUCACAUAUUUUCUGAUGGAUAUGAAGAAAAUUACCCAUCCAUGUAAGAAUGACAACAUUCCUAUAUUCUGCUUAUCUAGCCAUAACUUAUUUUAAGAUACGUAUGUACAUAUUAGUAGACUGAACCAAUUUUUUGAAUAACCUCCUUGGGUUCCCCGUACAGCUUUUUAAGCUCAUCGUAAGGUAGUCCUGGGUUCGCUGUACUGAUCACAACCAGCAGAAACUUCAGAAAUAGUCUGCUUUGCUUAUAUCUCCUCCCGCAUUCACAAAGCGUUCUCCCUCUGCCGAGCUCUUAGAUCUCCAUAUCACAGAUCAAAUCUGCUCACCAUCAGUGAAAACCAGUGCACUGCAGACCGCCAGUGCAGCCCUCUGUAUGGAACCUGCAUGUGGGCAGGAAAUCACUGCAUUGUCUGCAUGACUGUUAAGAGAAACACCAAGGAAGUGAAUAUUCAUAUACUGCUAAAUGUUACUUCAAGUGGAUUCCCAAGGUAUUCAAGAGCUGUACAGAUUUUUAGAGACAUUUCAUUCAGCAGUUAGAAUGGAAAAAGAAAGGGUGGCUGAAGAGCUGUAGUCACAAGCUUCUCCCAAUGGCUGUUAGCACACAUCCCAGGCAGAACGUCAGUGGUUGCUCCGUUGUGUGCUGCCAGUCACCUCUAGAAACAAGCUGGCUGAGGGGCACUGCUCUGUCUCUGUCAUUCUUUGCUGCUCCCAUUCCUUCUGCAGUGGCACCAAACCUGCCUGGCAUCCAGCUCUGUGUACAGCCAUACGCACUGAGAAGAAAAUAGUUUGCUCUUCCAAUAUAGAAAGCUUCUGAGCAGCAGUGGAAGCAUUUUGGUGAGCACGGCGUGUCAGGUUUUGUGUUCUGUAACCUCUGUGAGAAAGCACAGCUUGCGGAGGCCUUUGGCUGAUAACUUAACCGCUUCCUCCCCACAGCUCCUGCUGUGUGCCUUUCAGUGCUGUUCUUAGUCCUGCUUUGCUUACUGCUGCACAGAAAGGGUCCAUGAAUUUAAGACAGAAAUGAGACUACAGUUGGGGAUUUUUAUAGGAACCCUUCAACCAACAAACACCCAGCUGCCAGACAGCAGUCAGCGGAGAUAACUGCAUGGAGAUAACUUUGUAAACACACACAUACAAGAAUAAAAAAGAAAGCAAGAACGGAGGAGGUAGUUUAUAAUUUCAGAUUCUUCACAGCAUUUUAACCUCAGCUAUCAGACUGAUGUGUGCCUGGGGCAGCCUGUGCUGUAAGCUGCAAGCCAGCCCUGGGCCUGUGGGCUUCAGCCCUGCUUGUUCUCCCUGCCGCCUAUGUGGGGAAAAGAGGCCAUGGAGCUUGGCGCACACUUGCUGCUCCAGCCUGGAGCUCAGCUUUCUGGUCGGAAGUCUGCUUUGACAGCCAGGCAACAGAUUUUUCGCAGUGCCUGCUGAGCUGGUUUGGGGAAGGAGUGGCACACAUAAGCACAUUUGUUUCUUGUGAUAGGACACCCUGCAACAGGGUCUCUGAGUAAACAGGGGCAUCCACGUACCGUCUCUCAAAACCCAAGGCAUGCUUAUGCAAUGCUCAGUCCAUCUGUUGUUGAGAUCAUCUUAAUGGCUGUGACGGCUCCCCUGCCUGCAGCCAGGCAGAAUGGAAGAGUCCCUCUGCAUAAAUUAUCGCAAAACAAACCCAGGCUUCAGUACUGUCAGCUGAGGAGGUCGUUAAAUUCCGCAGUGAAUCUGCUGUGCCACUGUCAAGGCUUGCCUGUAUUUGUGAGAUGUUUUUUGCUAAUGAGGAAAGUUUGUCUCCUGAGGAAUUUUUAAUUGAAACAGCAAAGCAUCAUCUGGUGGCUGCAGAGAGAAGCAGCUCCCAGUUCUGCUGAGUGACCUGACCUUCCAUCACCGGGCACAGCUCCUCCAUGGGCACCACGUGUAGCUCCAUUCUGGAGCUCCCUGCCUGCCUGCAGAUGGAGUUACGCUGCCUGCAGCCCUGUCUGCAGGCUCAGGGUUCAUCCAGCACCUCGUCCACCUGCUGAUUCCCACAGGAGAGCACUGGGGUCUGUCGGUACAGGCCCAAGUGCUGCGGGAAUUGCAGGGCCAAAGUGCUGGCGGGUCCCUCAGGCCCUGCUGGGCAGUCUGUGUGAAGCCAGGGCUCGCUUCACCCCAGCCCCAUGGGAAACCUCUACAAAGCACACGCUGCACAGCUUUCUGCAGCCCACUGGUCCAGGUUGCUCCAAGCCCUAAGGAGAUCUGAGAGCAGCACAAAGUGUCCCCACACCCACGCUGGAUGUGCGCCCAUUAACGUGGCAGGCCGUGGCUGCCCUGCCCCAGCUGGCUCCAGCUCCAUGGCACUGUGCCUUCAGGCUGCCCCACAGCUCCAGGCCAGCUGGGCACUGCUGCUGAUGCUUCCCCAGUGCCUGAGCAUCCCUGGCUGCAUUUGCUGUGGUGUGGGAGGGCACGUAUGCAAUGAGACAUUGCCUCCUGCUGCGGGGCCACCUCGGGGUGGCCUUUCAAGUCCUUCCUGUGGCCGAGGGCUUUUAUGUGUGUUUCAGCUUCAGUCAGUGUUUCAAACCACAUAGGCUACAUUCAUAUGUUUUAAAUAACAUGACUUGGUCAGGGGACCACACACAGAAGGAGGGCUGUGGGAUGAGACCAUUGCCAUUGGCCAAUGGAUAAUUGAAGGAAGCAGACCUUGCGCUUCCUCUCUCUUACUGUAGGAGAGCAGUUUAACUGGAGGGAACUGUGGUAAUGGGAAGCUCAAAUGGAGAUGUGCCUGUCCCAGUUACUGCUGUUAAACUGCAUCCUCAGGCUGUUUGAGAGUUCACUGCAGCAGGCUGUGUACAUUCCCAAAGUCGGUGUCUAUUCAGUUCAUUUGAGGCAAAGUUUGAAGGCAAAAUAUUGUCACUGAUAGUGGGAGAAGAGGGGAAUGCAGCUCAUGGAACCUUUCUGCUCUGAGUCGUGUUUCCCACAGCCUGCUCUCCUCUAAUAAGGAGCAGUGCUGACUGACACCUUUACAGCCACACCUUUGCAGUUCACUGCUAGAUCCCCAUGGGUUCCUGCAGCUCCGCCGUGGGAUUCGUGCUGUUGGGAACCUCAACUGUCAGAACCACCUCGUCCUGUGCCGUGUAAUGGGCACUGCAGUAUUCUCUGUCCUUUUCCUAAUCAUCUCUUGAUCACAGCUGCAUGGUCUGUGACCUCUCACGGUCCUGCCUGCCUGGCUUCCUAGCUCUGUUCAAUAUUUUAAUUAACAGUUUGGAUGGUAGAACAGAGAAAAGACUGUAUUGGGCUUGUGGAUAACACACAGCUUGAAGGGACUCCAGGAACAUUGGAGGAGAGGGCUGGGAUUUAACCUGAGUUGCAGUAGAGGAUGCUGGUAUGCAGUGAUGAGCACCAGGCAUGCUCUUCUUGAGCAACAAAAUGCAGCUGCAGCAGCAUAAGAUGCCAUGGGAAGUGGGCACAGGUGUGGGCACAGCUGGGUGUGGGUGCACAGCAUCAUGUUGGGAUGCCACGCGUCACAGAAGGCAGGCAGUGGUGGAGCCUGCCUACUCCUGGGGGAUCUGACAGGGCUGUGCUCACUUUUAGGGCUGCAAAUUGUACGUCUGGAAAAAGGGAGAGUGUUCAGAAGGUGGAAAGAGCGUGGUCUAAAAAGCAUGACUUCUAGGAGAAAGUGACCAAAAAUUGAACUCUUUUCUUUAAAAAAUAAAAUAAAAUGGGGAAAUAAAUGAGGGGAUGCAAGGAUCACAAUUACCUGCCUUGCACAUCUCCCCUGUGUGCAUCAUCGUGUUUGCUGUUAGCACCCGACACGUCUGAUUAGUUCCUAACUGAGAGCAAAAGGUUACUGAGGCUCAGAGAGAACACGGCUGCUGUGUGAUGCCCUGAAUGCUGAUGAGCAUUCGCACAGUUUGCAUUUGUGUUUUACUACUGCCUUUCAUGUGAAGCUUUGUUUUCCUGGCUGCUAAUUUAUUAGCAGGUAAAUUGCAGCUUGCAUAUUAAAAGACCUACCAAAUAUCACUUGGAGGCCAGAAGAGUCUCUAAUAGAAUUGUAAAGUCUCUCCUUUUUUUUCCUUCAGAAAAUCUGUCUUAUGAAGUCUUUCUAAUUAUUCUCUAAGAUGAACUCUCACAAUUGUAAUAUUGUAACAUCAGAAAAGUUGUAUUAAUUUACCUGCUGUUAAACUCUCUGUGACCCUGCUAUGGGGAUAGUGAGAUCUGAACUAUUGCUCUGAUGUCUGUCAUCUUAAACCAUGUUUUCCAGAGGGUGUGACAUGCUCUGCAGUCUUGCUAUCUCACACACUUUGGGCUGAGAAAAAUCAGUUUCAGCCUCUUUUCUACAGAACCAGACUGCUGUAUUCAAAGUGGUGGCAUGAAUGUGCUUUGACCUCUUUCUUUCCCUUAAGUCAUCAUAAUAAGUGCCCAACAGGAAAACUGUCAGUAUGUAAAAGCAGUGAUUUCUCAUCAUAAUGGUCCGUUGUUUCCAACUCAGUCAUUCCUGCAGUACAAAAUCAAAAUGGUCCCAGGGAAGUUGGAAUGGAGCACCGUGUGGCUGUGAGUGCAGUGACAGGAGCCCACCUUCCCCCUGUGGGUCCGUGUAACACGUGGAAGCAGGUGCAACACGUGCAGUGCUCCAUCGGUUCCAAUUCAGCUGUGCCUUUAGUGGAUAUGCUUAGUACUUUAUUUGGUCUGUGCUCAUUUGCUGAGAAAGUUGUUUUCACAUCUAGAAGCACUGCCAUGUACAAAUCACAAAUCCAGUGUAGAAGGGUGCGUGCAUUUCGAGAGAAAUUAUCACCUCUGAGAGAUCUGAAUGCUUGAGAGAUGUGAGGGAGGGAAUGUAACCAAGGGAUGAGCAGUGUGUGAUGAAAGGACUUGCUGCAGAAUCACAUCUGCGUUAACUUGGAGCCAACGUUCCUUUGUGCUUCAACAUCGCUGGUGAAAAAAUGCUAAUUUUCAGAGUAUGUGUAGACGAAGAAUUGCAAAGCUACGUUAGGAUCCAGGUGGUGCUGCCAGCUGUGUGCCUCCCUGUUUCUUAAAAAGAAAUUCUGUGGAGAGAUUACUUGUCUCCUGCACACGGAAUGACCAUUGGAAGAGAAUAAGAAAGGGGUAAUGGUUUCAGUGCCUCCUCCCCUUCAAGGUGAGAUGGAAGCAGAAAGGCACGUGGAGUUCUAAGGGAAAAAAAAACAACGAAAACCCCAAACCCACCUAAAUGUGAAUUAUUUCAGGUCUGCUGCACACGUUAUGAGUCUGAACACGUCUGCUACGAUGGGAUUCCCCUUCUCGACCAUUGUUUCUGCAGCUACACGAGGACUUUGUGCUCUCAGCUUGCAUUUUCUAUUAACAGCUCUGAGUUCCUGCUAUGUAAAUUCUGGCAUAGGCCACUCAAAACCACAAAGGAAGUGCUCAGACUCUGGGUAUUGCUCCCCAGUCUGUGUGCCGCUCACAGCCCGGCAGUCAGAGCUGCCGCAGAGCCCCACUGUGGCCCUGGGGGAAAAUUUGUGCCUUUUCCCAGCCGUGCUUACUGCGCAUCGUGGCAGCGCUGGAGGCUGUAGCUCAGCUCUGCAUGUGCUCUCCUCUCGCCUCUCCUCUCCCUCCUCUGCUAACUUCCGCAUCCAUCCCGACCCUGCUUGGUGCUGGAAGGUGCUGGAAGGUGCUGGCUUGCAGUGCAGUCUUUGCUUUGCAAGCGCUGUGCAGGGAGCAGCAGAAUGAGGAAACAGCCAUACGUACACACUGCAUUUCCCACGACUUGCCCUUCUUCCAAGCUGCAGUUCUGAGCCCUGGAAGUCACCCUGUUACAUGGUGAGCUGUGAGUGUGCUCCUGUGCUCCUGUGCUCCUGUGCUCCUGUGCUCCUGUGUUCCUGUGCUCCUGUGUUCCUGUGCUCCUGUGUUCCUGUGCUCCUGUGCUGCUCUGACUUUCCUCGUCUACAAAAAGAAGCAAUCUUAAAUAGCACCUAUACUUGCUGCUGCACCGACAUGCUAAGUUAUUUUGAAUAGAUGAAGCAAAUGAAUGAGAUGCAAACUUUGGUUUAUUUAUUACCACUCCAUUCCCAACCCACAGCUGCCAGUAGAGUCUCCAGAAGCACCGCUGGUCUGUGUGGAUUCUUCACACAUUUAGAAACAAACCUUCAGCAUGUUCUGGUUCACAUGUUGUGAUGAAUGCUCUGUUUAAGGAAGUGUCUGUCAAUACUUAACAAGUUCUACAACACCUUGUUUUCCGGAGGGUGAGGGGAGAUGCCUUCUGGGUUAGGUACCGUUGGACACAGUCUGUAAAAUCAAUCGCGGGGAAUCUGGAAUUCACAUGGGCCCCAGGUACCUGGCAUUGAGCUGGGAAGGUAUUUUGAAGUGAAGCUGGGGAAGUUGUGCAAUGCCACAGGGAACAGAGUCUGGAAAAAAUGGCAGAUUUAAAUGUUCUCCCUGUUUUGCCAAUUUAAUAAUUUGUUUGUUCUAUAUCCGUGUGUACGUGGCUGUUAGAAGCAGGCUUCUUUCAUCAAGCACAGCUCACACGAUGCACUGCAGCCGUUGCAGUGAGGCUGGGUUGGUCUGGCCCUGGGGCUGUCAGCAGCAACACCUCAGUGGGGUCAGCAUCCUCCCUGCUGCCCUUUGCUCCAGGGGACCUCGAGUGCAUGAUGGCAAUUUGUCCUCUGCUGCAAAACACUGAAGCCAGAAAAUCAAGCCCUGUAAGUUUGGAAUUAUGCAACAUGACAGAUCAUCAAACCCAUUUUGUUAUGGCUGAGCUACCCACCCUUUUGGAGCACCGGAUUUGAUUUACUGUUGACACAGUCAUUCACAUGAAUUCAAGUCUGCGAGGCUUUAUUUUAGAGGAUAUAAAAAUCCCACCCAUCACUCACGUGUGCUCACUGCUUCUGCAGUUUGGCUCAUAGCAAGCUGUACCUGUUGCUUUGUGAAAGCCUUGAGCAGCACACAUGCAAUGCCAUGCCCAUGUUCUGGCCUCGGGGCAGCUACAGAGCCAAGCCCCCAUGUUAGCAGCAGCAUGCAGGGCACGCUGCCUGGGAGGGAAGUGUUGUUUGCUCAGUUGUGAGUUGUUUGUGGGCAGAACAGUUUGGGGAAGUGCGUUCUAGGAAAGCACCACUUUUCCCAAAUGUUCCCUUUCCUUGACCAGUAACCCCAAAGCUUGCACGCUGCGGGGCAGCAUGAGGCUGUCUGUUGCUAUUUCUGUGACCCAGUUUUCUUCCCUGGGUAUUUGGUGAGCUGAGCUGGCCUGGAUGUGCAGUGACAGCUGGGGGAAUAGGGAGCAACACAUCUUUCCUCGGGUAGAAAAUGUAACUUAAAUUCCAACCUGAGCCACACGUAUGUAAAAAGUCAGUUGUGGAUCAGUGGUAUUUAAUGUUGUGUAGGUUAGAGCACAAGUCUUGAAUGGUUGAUGCUGAGUCUCAGUAACACUGUAAAAAAUAUUUGCAGCUGAAUGGCUGCAACGCUUUGCCUGCCUUCUCUGGCCUGCCUCAAGAGUGCUUAUGAAACUAAUGACAUUGCUGCUUUGCUCAGGAAAUACUGCUCCCUCUGUUCUGGCCCAGGUCUUGCCCAUGCAGCAUAUUCUCUAUUAGGCUGCAGCAGGCUCUGAUGCCGGUGUCAGCUCAAUUUCCUCCUCUUAAGUGCAUGCCAAGAGCUGGAUGCCAAAAGCUGGCAGGGAAACAGCUCAGAAGAACCCAGGAACGAAAGAGGACACGGGAAGGAUGCCAGAGCCUAAAGAAGUGAGAUAGAGGAACUGCUGGGAUGGUGAUUGAGAAGGAACUGCCACUCCCAGCACUGCUUCCCUUUGCCUGGUAGAAGAGAAAGGAACCGUUAAUGCUGGAUACACUUUUGUCCUUUUUCUACAAGUAUUUCUGGGCUAUCUGCUUGUCUGUCUGGGGAAAAGAGAAAACUAAACCCCAGACAAAUCCUCUGCCAAAAUGCCCUGUUCCGCACUCACAUUUAAGCGAUCAGAGAAUGAGCAGAUGAGCAGAUGGGAAGUGAGAGGGCUGCUGGUGCUGCGUGACGGCUGCAGGAGGGCCGUGGGGCUUGUGGCAGUGAGGUGCUGUGCAAACCUGCAGAGGUCAGGCCACGCUGCCUGCAGACACGAGGCCUCCAACGUGCUUGUAAAGGAGGAGCGGGGGGCCGAGAAGGGCCUUCAGCCCGUGAUGUGCGCAGAGCUGUGGGAGCAGUCAGUGCAGCUGCAGUGCUUUGUGUCUGUCACAACUGAAAUGCUCAUCACUUCCCUGAGCUGGUGCCUCCUCUAAACUGCUGUCAGUUGUUGCACUGCAUUGCACCCAUGGGCAUCGCUUUUCUGGGGCACACUUCAACUGUUUCCUGACGCUGCUCCCCUGCCUCCUGGAGCAGCUGAGGUUUGCUGACAUCCCAGGAGCUCAGCCAGCCAUUCCCUGUGCCCCCAGGAGGGCACGGUGUGGGCAUGCCUGCCUGGGGCUCCUGGAGAGCCUUCCUCUGCUGGGAAUGCAGUGAGGGUUUGCAGCUCAGGGCUGGUUCCUUGCUAUAAAUAUAAGCUGAUAAGGAAUUCAUGGUAGCAAAGCUGUAUAAACCAGGAAAAAGCUGAAGAGUUCCCAAAUAUACAGUCAGCAGUGCAGAAAACCUGUGUGGAUGAUUUACCUAAUUAACAAAUAGGCUUUACAUACCCCACGGUGUCUAUUUCCCUUUCAAAUGAAUUUAUGAACAACCCACUAUAAUUAAUACUGGUGAUUUAACUUAGGAAACUGAUACGAAUGAAUUGCUCUAACAAUUUCUAGGUAAGCUUAAUUAUCUUAUCUGAGGAAAGUCACAUUUUUCUAGAGCAGUGCGGAAGGUCACUUUUAAAAUAGAUGUGUGCACAGCUCAGGAAAGCAGCUGGAUGGGCAGCAUCCCGAGCAGGACACAGCCAGCCCACACUGCAGCCAGAGAUCCUCUCUUCCCUGGGCGAGGAGUUGCUGCACUGAAAGGGAUGGCUGCACUUUUUUUUUUUCCAUUUUCUCGGAAUAAAUCUGCUUGAGGUUUUAAACAUUUGGUAUCUAACCUCUUUUUCAAGCACUCCUUUGAGAAAGUAGUGCCCAACUUGCAUUUAAGAAAGCAUCACUUUUUAGUUCUGUUUGAGAGAUUGAAAUAUAUCCAAUAAAUAAUAUUGUCCCACUCUGUACAUCUACCAGUAUAAUUGGUGAGAUUGAAAGUAACGUUCCAUUGACUUUUUUGGUAUGUGUCAAGGCAGCCUGAAGCAGAGGGAGGUGGGGAAUGAGAGCUGCCUGCAGUUGCAGAGCUACUUGGAGUGCUAUUGCUCUUAGGGGAGAGCAAGGAUGGAAAAACGAACACCGUGAGUGCAGGUAAACGGCACCCAGUGACAAGAAUGAGAUCUGGGCACUGAACGUGCCAUAAAGCAACUGAGGCCAUGAGCAUUGGAGAAUCACCAGAUAGCCCAUGAAACACAUGAAUUUUCUGUUAAGAAAAAUGAAAAUGCCAAUAACACCCAACAGCCCGGGGUACUGCGUGACGUUGACAUUUGAGCCCUUCCUCUAGGAUUACAUUUUUCAGGAUUUUCCCCGUGGCUUUGGAAGGCUCAUUUGUGGCCGCCGCUGCCCGGCCCGGCGGUGAGCCUGCUGUUGGCUGUGGCACCGCGUCCUGCAGGGCAGCCUGGCCUUGCCUGGCAGCUGGGGGCUGAGGAGGAGCCAAGUGCCCCACACCGGUGGCAGUGCACAGAGCUGCCGGCGCUUGGCCCACUCGGCUGCGGCUCUGCACUGAGCUGAGUGCGGCUCCACGUCCCGUCGCCUCGUCUCCUCUCUCACCUUGUCCCCUCUGUUCUGAUUUCCUUCUGUCAGGACAGGAUCUUCAGGCACCGCUCUUUCUCAAUGCCUCUUUGGAAUAUUUUAAAUAGAAAGAGAGAGCUCUUCUCUUUUCACGCCAGCCUUCAAAGUGAUUUUAAUUUAAAAUCUCCCCCAAAAUAUUGUCUCUCAGACAAGAAAAGCUGGCCUGGAAUCGCUGUGGCACGUAGGCUGUGUUGUCAUUGCGGGGCUGUGGCAGCUGCCAGUUGGAUCGGAAGCAUCGUGCGGCACUGCUGUGGUGAGCACACGGCCGGCACUGCUGGGGAUGCCCGUACUGCUCGUGUGUUUUACUCCUCAGGGAGCUGUUGUGUCCGUGUACAUCCCCAACUGCAGUGCUCUGGGACACCGCCCUGCCACGUGAGCUCGUGUCUGCUGAUGUUGUCACAGUGAGAGCCCACUUGGUGUCCCGCUGCAACGCCGUGAGAUUGCAGUGCAGGAAGGUACAGCUCGCUCCUAGACUACAUGCAGGUAGUCAAGGUCACUGCUGUAUUUUACAACAGUGACAUUAAUUUAAAAAUCCAUCUGGCUACCUGUGAAGUUGAGGUAGAAAACAAGUGAGCUAUACCUCUGCUUUGCCUUUGGUGCUGGCUGACUCAGGCUUCGUUCACAAAGCCUCUCUCUCCCUUUCAGAGAGCUCAGCACCGGGGGUUCUCGCUGCACGUCUGGACAGCCUGCAGUAGAAGAACUUUUCUGUGGGCUGCAGCGCUGGGCAGGCAGCCCUGGACUGCUACUGUGAGCAUCGUUCUGCUUGCUUUAGGAAGGUGGUCCUUUUCCUUCAGGAUAACCACAAAUGUUAAAAAUGCACAGACAUUUUUUCUUUUUUUCCCACUGUUGUUAAACCAUUAGCUUUUCUCAUGCUGUGUAUGUUUUUUGUUUGUUUGUUUUAAGAUAGAAUAUCUUUUGUCCUCUUCUUCUUUUCCUCCUUUGGACAUUCAUAUCAACAUACAUUUAUGUGUCUAUGAAUUUCUACACAUUUAGAUAAUAGCUAAUGGAUAUGCCACUGUGACUUUCUUACUGAUUAGGAGGACAUGAGAAAUGAGUGCCAGCACAACUCAGUGCAGCUUUUUCUCUGUAAAGCAGCUGUGGGUAAGCUUAGGACAUGCUGGGCUUUGCUGACCUGCUGUGAAGGAGGUCUUCAUAAAAGCCACAUGGAAUGGCAUCACAGGAACCGAUCAGUCCUGGAGCUGACACAUCCCUCCUGGGGAUGGCGGCACAGCUCCCUGCAGGUGCUGCAAGGAGAGGACUUGGUGACAAACAGAAGUUUGGUUCUCUCCCCACCUUCGUGUUUCACAGAACUGCAAAAGAAGCACAGUCAGCACACACACGCCGAGCUUAAAAAAAGGGAAACAAGAAACCAAACAUUGGGGUGUAACUGAAGAACAGCAGGGCUGCUAUUUUUGUCUUUGAGCCUUCCUGACACGGACCCACUCAGCUGCUGCAUCCCCAACAAAUGCAGCAUUUCCUCUUCACCGCAUUCAGCUCCCAAGCCAGAAGAACCUGCUCAGAUAGAAUUGUUCUCAUGCUAUUGCUAAAUUCCCUGUCUCAGCUCUCAGGGCUGCGAGAGCUUCUUCAGCUGCUCAGUACUGUGGGAUGCUUGGCCUCAUGAUGAAGCUCUGCCACCCGGCUGGGCAGUGUCCCACUGCACUGAGUGCCCAGUAUUGUGGUGCAGCAGGAGCCUGGGAGCGGGGAGACAGAAGUGGUAGAAAUCAGGUUAGAGCACAGUGUUGUUGGGAACAGAGGGAAGCAAAUGGCUCUACAAACCGGCCCCAAAGCUUUGCUUUUAAAGAUUGCUGCUUGUGCUGCACUUCUGGCAUUGCUCUGCGCGCUGCAGCCACAACCUGGAGAGGCAGCAGCUGGGGCUUGGACAGAUACGCCCCGAGCUAAUUACUGUGGUGGUUUAAUUACUGCUCCCGUUCCUCCCCAACUGCCUGCUACCACUGCCCUGCCAGGAGCAACUGCCCGCUGCAGGGACACCAGCAGUGCCUCUUGUAGCUUCUCCACGUGGGAGAGGGCCCACACGUCCUCAGCCACAUGCAGCACUUCAGCUCUGAGCGUGCAUUCGCCUCUCAGCACCCUGCUCCAAACAGGGCUGACACCGACCCACGGCUACCGGAGACACGUCUGUAUUGCCCAGCGUGCAGCAGGGCAGCGAUCUCACACUCAGAAGCAUUGCUUCUUCAUUUCCCACAGAUUGAACUCACACACCAAGCUAUCGGCACAGGAUUUACACACAGAAGUUACCAAGCUGAUAACGUUCCUGCCUGUUCUCCUCACGGUGACUGGUCAGUGAUUGCGGUGCAAUUACACACGGCUGACUCUGUACUUCCACUAGUGCACAUGGCUGGGGAAGGGGCGGCACCCAGGCAGGGGUCUUUUUGACCCGUGACUGUGAUUGUAGUGUUCUGAUGAAGGCAGUUCAGCUGAGGACACACAGACCGUGGGUUUUCUCGCCAAGCUGACGAUGUCCCCGAAGUCUCCUUGUUAAUGUUCCCUUCAAGGCCAGCCAGCUCUGGGAAGGCCCUGGUUAAGGAUACCAAGUAUUCAUUCUUCUCGUACCUGACAUACUGCUAGAUCAGUUUGCUUAGGAUUUGCCUUCAGCAGUGGAAGCGGCCUGCUGGCACAUCUUGAACUCUGACUGCAGCAGUACUGCUCAGCACACACCUCUGCCCUCAGCUCACACCUUCCAGCCCCGCUCCGCAGCUGCCGGCUCAGAUGGAGCAGGGUGGGAUGGAGGCGCCCUCCCAGACUCCCACAGACCUGACUGGGGAUGAUCAGUCAGCAGCUGCCUUUGACCAGGAGGCGCAGUUUGCGCUGUCCGGCCUCUGCUGUUAAUCACGUUUCCUUUGUGCCGCUGGUGGCAGCUGGUGGCGUCUAUGGGCACGAUAAUGCUGACGCUUCUCUUUUCAUCUCUUCCUUCACCGCACUUCUCUUUCUUGUGCUCGCCUCUCUUCGAGUGCUUUUUAUUGUGCUAAGCAGCACGAAAACUGUAACAGGAAUCGAGUCUCCUCUGUCAGGUGAAAUCUAUCUCAAACAGAUAAGCGAGGUCCUCUGUGGUCAGCCUUUCUCUGAGGGGAAGGAAAAACAAAGGCAGAAGCCCUGACCGUUUUCCUUCCCCUCCUUUUGCACACUUGGAGAGCGGCAUGGCUGAGCCGUGAAAGAGGAAAGGUUUCCUCCUCAGCCGUGCUCUGCUGAGAAGGGGCGCUUCAGAAAACCCCAAACUUUCCACUCUCCUUUCAGGAAAUGACACCGUCGUGCUGGAAUUUACAAUGAAGCUGUGAAUGUAGCUGGAGCCCUGGGCUUCACCAGGAGAAGGCCCCCUCAGCUGGCUUUAUUCAGCUCUAUUGAGAGCUGAAUUCGCCGUGAAAGGCGUGUUUUCCAUUUGGCCCCUUUCCUCCAUCAAUUGCUGUCAGUGUAACAGAAGGCCCCGCGCAGCUCCCCCGCCCCGUGUGCCUCUCCGGGCUGUGCUGUGCGAGGCCGCCCGGCCCCGACACGCAGCGCUGAGCCCCACACAAUGCCGCUUUGUUGGGGCCACACAGCAGAGCUGCAGUUUCCCAGGCUUUUCCUUUCCCCCCUCCCGCCGCGGCGACGCGGGGCUGCGUGAGCGGGCGCUGAACAAAGGCGUGAGAGCUCAGACGUCCGCGCUGCCCGCGGUGGUGACCGGGCUGCGGUGAGGGUGGGAAGCGGUCCAAACCGCGGCGGCCCGCGGGCCGUGUGCUGCUGGCUGACACCGGGCGUCCUGCGAGGGAAAUGGACCGUGGUGCGCGGCCGUGGAUUCCGGCACGGAGCGGGAACGUGUCGGCACGCAGCGACCGCCGCGCCCUGUCCACGCUGGGCAGCGUCACAGCUGGGCAGGAGGGCAGGACAGCCCGCACCGUGCACCUCUGAGCCUGCUGGCUGCAGUUGGUCCGUGGCAGCUGCAGGCUGUGGUUGCACGUUAUGGAUCCCAAAGUGCCUAUGGACACGGUGACUAACUGUGCGCUGCAGAGGGAGAAACGGCGAUCACGUGUGCUAUAUUAACUGCAGACAAUAAAUAGCAGCGACCCCGAUGUCAGAAAGCGAGUCAGUGCCCAGCAGCCACUGUCACAUUGGAGUGGUUCCUUGGCUUCAGCUGGACUCGGUGCAAAACGUUUGUGAAAGCUCUGCUUUGUGGGUUGAGCCCAGAAACUGCUGUCGUGUGCUUCCCUGUGCCCUGCUCCCUGAGCCACAUCAUCCAGAAAGAAAGCGUCAGAAAAAUCUGGUUCUUAUUUGUAGGAUGGAGAGUUGCAAGCAGUCCUGAUCCGCACGGUGCACAGCCACUGCUGGGGUAAAUUGAUGAAGGAGCAGCUGCAUCUCGGAUGUGAUCAAAAUGGGCUCAAUCCUACAAAUGAAAAUUGCAAUCAUAUAACCUGCAGAGUGGAGCUGAAAACAGCUCUUUGUAUGGCAGACUUAAUGUCUGCAGGAUCUGGCCUUGUGUCUGCACUCAUUGAUACUGCUAAAUGUGAUUGAUUGUUCAUAAACACCAAUUCAGGGAUGAUAAAAAGACAUUGUUAAAAGAGCAGCGAGCUCCUCCUCUCAUGCAAGUUCUUUUUUUGGUCUGUUGCUACAGCAACUCUGUGCUAAGAACAAAGAUGACAGCAAGUAUUAAAUUUUACAGCAACUCAAUUGACUCUUGAUUUGUCUUCUUUUUUGCCUUCAGUAACUGAAUCCUACUCCACUAAUUGUGUUAGAUUGCAGAUAGAAAUCAUGCCUUCCUGUGGCAGGGAUUCCUGUGUUGCUUUUUCUUCCUUCCCCUUAGAAAUCAAUUACAUUGAAUUAAUUCAUUUAAAUCCAGUGGGUGAUUAUAACUGCUAGAUUAUUUGGAUUUCUUUCUUUGAUGUGUGGACAUCUUGUAUUUUAAGCCACAGCUCAUGUUCUUUUCCAAAACCCCCAAAGCCUUAAUAUUCUUUAUUAAGAAACAAGCAGUUCUUGGCAAAUUCAUUUUUGUCAAAGUUCAACUCAUGCCAAUGGCAAAGAUCAAAAACGUACGUUCAAAAUUACUGUAGCGGAGCUCAUCUGAAUUCACGAAUGCUAAGAGUUUUUAAAGGAACACCGCUUUCCAGCUCCAUUUUUCCCACUCUACACUCUCAGUUUCUCUUAGGACAUGAGAAGGCCAUUCACACCGUGUCUCUGGGCUCACUUCUACAUGUGCAAAAUCACCGCAUUACGGUAGAAUGCAAUGUGACCAAUGACCCACACAGCCUCGGGUGGAGCUGCCAUCCCAGGCCUCAGCUGUCCAAGGUCGAGAGCUUCUGCUUGGAGACAGUGGAAGGUGACAUCUUGGAGCAAACGUUCUGCUGCUCUGCGCCUGCCUCUUGGCCACGCACACAAAAGGCAGCUCUCUGCAGGACUCACCCUGUGCUCAUUGCUGUGCCAAGGGACGCAGGGCGGGAGGAGGUCUGAGAGGUUUGCCUGAGGUGACACAGACCUUGUGCUGCUACCAAACCUAGUGGAUUCCUGGGCAUAGGAAGUCUGAAGCGAAUGAUGGCAGCCUUCUGUCAGCAAAGCAUGGGUCAAAUUCCAUCAAAACAACACAUUCGAUUCAAUCCGAUUCCAUCGGUCCAUACCGAGGCCUUGCGGCCCGGGCAGCCAGGCUGGCAUGGGGCAGAUCUGUACCACGUGUUGGCAGAGGCUGACCCUGUGGGCAGGGGGAGGGCAGGUGGUGGGGCUGGAGCCUCUCCUGGGAGUGUGGCAGUGGGAUGCUCUGUGGAGAGGAGAAAAUGAGGAACUGCAGAUAAACAACAACGACAUGAGGAGAAAUGGGUUGGCUUGAGCAGAUUAAAUAUAACGUACUUAUUUAACUCCUGAUCAGCUGGAAAAUAACAGUAUGGCUCUGGUAGUCUCAGCUUCAGCAGCCGUGCACAGGGAUGGCUAGCCCAGGCACAAGUUUGUGCUUUCAGUAUGAGAUAAGAUCUAAGGAAGUAGAGCAAUGGAACAAACUAGAAACAAAGUCUUGUGUCUUUCCCUGAAAGCUGUUGUGCAAAAGCACUUGCUUUAGGGUUAAACAGCAUGGGCAAAAGCACCCCAACCUGCCCUAGGGCAGGACUUCAAUAGCCAAGCAAGUUUCAGAUGCACACUGAUCUUAGAUGUUGAUAGGCCCUUCCUAAAGAGCUGGGACAACUGGGUCUUUUGCUGGGACAACUCUGAGUAUUGCGCUCUGGGAGGGAGGAUGUAGGUUGCUUUGGAUGCUGCGUGCCACAGGAGCAGACCCUCAGCCACCUUCCUCUGCGCUGCGCUGCACCCCUUCCCUGGGGAGUCAGCAACACAUCACCCACAGAAUCUGCAGAGCGCAGCGGGGAAAUGAAAGUACAGCUCUGACUGCACGGUCUCUGUAAUCUCCCUGAGGAAAUGAGAGGUAACAGAUCUUUAUCAGGAAACUGUUAGCAAAAGACCUUUCACAACUGCUUAAGCAAUGUGCACGGCAACUUUAGCCUUGUAUAGCCAAAGUCUUGGUAGACCCAAAUGCCUUUUACAGGAGAGUGACAGCAACAGGAAAGAAGUGCCAUUGGCAGCUUGUUUAUCAUGAUCCCUCAUGCUUUUAGGCACAAGUAAAUAUUCUCCAUUUCUCGGUGAUUUGCAUUACUGGCCAGUGUAACACUAAAUUUUGCUGUUACUACAAAGGCUUAACAACGGUAACAGCAAAAAAGACAUGGUCAGAAGGGCUUCUACUUAAAGAGCUGUGUUUUGCUUCUCUGAAUGGGACGCUUGUUUCCAGUGGACAUUAGGGAGGUACCAUGCUAAUAACCUGGAGAACAGACGGUGCUAGCUCUCACCACAGUUUGCUGGAGGAAGUCUUGCUUGGUGCUGCCCAAACUCACUGCUCCAGAAGAGUCCCAGCACAGCCAGCGGGCACACGGAGCGCUCUGCAGGCACAGCUCUGCAGUCAGCACUGCGCUCUGCUGAGCAGCGCUCCUGGGACGGCCUGCAGAUCUGUGCUGGGGAAACUGCUGUGUCAGAAAGGCCACAGAUAGAAGUGAUAGCAGCUGGCUGGUUCUUUUCUUCCUUUCCUCUUUUGUCUGAGCAUCUCAAACGGCUGAACAACGUUUAAAGCAUCGCAGCUUUCUCGAGUUUUCAGACGGGGAACAUAAGGCACAGGGAAAUCAGGGCUGCUCUGCUUUGUUCUUUUGUGUGCGGUAAUUUUGGGUGCAGAGAAAGGAUACGUCCCUACAGCUACGUCAGUGCCAAGCCACCAUGGCACCCCACUACACAGAUAAAAAGGGCACAGAGAGAGGACCGGUUCUCCUGUUAACACAACAAAAUAACAGAACUUUGCUGGCAGAAAAAAAGUGCACAAGAUUGACAAAAACAAAACGCAGUGCAAGCAGCUCCCAUAUGAUGCAGCUCCAGUUCAUUUUACUCUGGGAAAUGUAUCUGCGGAAGUGUUCCUCCCGCAGUGCUGCCUCAGGGAUGCCUGCACAGCAGAAGAGCACCAGGUGGGUCCCAACUCUGCGGUUCAGGGAGGACCCGGCGCUGCUGUUCCCUGCAGGAGGUGACGGCGGUGCUGAGCCGUCCACGUGUCCAUGAGCACUGCCAUGCAGAGCCCAACCAACACCUCAGCACCGCUGUCAGCCGGGCCCCCCAGGCACACGGGCACCGUGCUGUGCAGCCAGGGGCUGACAGCCAGCGGGCUCUGCAGAACACGCUGUGCGUGGUGCACAGCACGAAGCGCUGCCAGUCCGACACUGGGAACAAAGAGUGCAGGACAGCUUCUACCUCAAGAAUUUUCCUUAAUUUAGGAAUUGCUUUAAGCAAACAUUACCUCUGCUUCCUGAGCACACACAAGGCAAUUGCCCUGGAAGUAAUCUGCAUUAGCCGUACUGGAGUGACCACGUUGCCAUAGUUACUGCUGGGUUCUGUAUCCCUCAAGCCUGAAGUAUUUAUUACAAUAAAAUCCAUCCCAUGCCAUUCUUCAUGCAAAAAUCCUGUGCUGAAGGUGUCACAAAGUGAAUUAUAAUCAGAUUCUUCCUCUUAGAAAGCUGCUUUAAGUACAAAUCCCACAAGAAGUCUUAGACUUUGUUAUGUAGCAAAUGUCAUUAAUUUCUGACUGGAUGAUUUUUCCUCAGAUAUUACUGCUUUAUUUUUAGUGAUAUUUUUAAUAGCAGAAGACCCUGACCAUUAUAUAAUUUCAUGUUUGCCUUUUUGUUUUUUUUUUUCUUUCACCUUUGUACUGUGGAUUGUUUUGGUAAAAGUUGUUUUACAUCCUUACAUCCUCAGCUACAAGAUGCCAAUCUCGGAGCCCACCCCAUGGACCAGACGAGGUGAGAAAGCUGGAGCUGUCCCUGGGACACAGCUCAGCACUGGAGCUGCUGCGGGCUGCAGGAACCUGGCAGUGCUGCAGGGAAAGGAACUCACCCUGCACUGAAUAUUUAAAAAUGUUCUGUGGG